AAAGGAUUUGGAGUCUCUAUUUCUGUUGCUCAACAUUCAGCUUGCUCUUUCAGUCUUCAGCCGGUUGGAAAUAUUAAAGAAAUGUUUACAAAAGUAGUCAUGAUCUGGAAAGUUAGGAUCAAGCAGUCAUGAUCUGAAAAGUUGUCUGGUUAAGGAAGUUAUCUACGAACCCUAACCCUAUCGCAGUUUUACCUCCUGAACCUCUUAUGGAUGCUGAGGCAACCUCUACCCAUGACCUUGCAGAAUAAUAAGGAGUAGAUCGGGAUUUGGAGUGAUUUCACAUGCAGUUGGUGCUGAAGCGACGACUCUCAUUUUGGCGAUAUCUUGGGCAAAGGAGAUGAAUCUUUCUAAAAGUCCUGCUGGUUAGUGAUUGCCUUGAUUUGGUGAAUUUUGUUAAUGGAGGCAAGGGUGCUGUUGACUGGAGAUGUUAUGAUCUUUUAGAAGACAGUCGGAUUUCUCUUUCUAGUUGUAUUAGUUAUAAUCUUGUACAUAUUAAGCGUAUCAAGAACAAGCUAGCAGUCCGACUUGCACGUCGGGCUAGAAAAUUAUGUUUAGAAGACUUAUGGAUUCCUUUUCCUCCUUUUUUGGAUAGUGUAUUGAGGAAAGAACCACUUGUUGAUGU